UAUGAAGGGGGCUAGCGUUGCUCGGAAUCACUGGGCGUAAAGCGCACGUAGGCGGCUUUCUAAGUCAGGGGUGAAACCCUGGAGCUCAACUCCAGAACUGCCUUUGAUACUGGAGAGCUCGAGUCCGGAAGAGGUGAGUGGAACUGCGAGUGUAGAGGUGAAAUUCGUAGAUAUUCGCAAGAACACCAGUGGCGAAGGCGGCCAACUGGUCCGGAACUGACGCUGAGGUGCGAAAGCGUGGGGAGCAAACAGGG
rnacentral:rRNA from 1 species